CGCUGUUCUUCAACGCAAGUUUAACUUACGCCUCGGGUGUGCUCCAUGUGGCGUUACUGGAGACGUACCACGCUGACGUUGAUGUGACAGUCUGGCUCGGAUCUCUAUUCUUUAGCAUGUCAUGUCUUGCAGGUCCACUUGCAAGUUUCAUCAUCAACGUAACAGACUGUCGCACCUGUGUCGUGAUAUCUGGAGUCCUCGGCCUUGAGUUGGAACCAGCCUGGCUCACACGGGUGCUAUAGUUGUCCUCGGAUACCAUUUUUCAGACAA